AAAAACAAUACAAACCUGGCCAGCUCACACAACAGUAAUGUUAUUGUACACGGCCAGAUGUUUUAGUGUGUCCAACUGCACAGCCACUUCACCAGACUUUAGUGGAUCAAAGAUGCUCUUAGAUGGCAUUGGCUCAGCAUUCGCCUUGCUCACUGAGUACCAUCAUCCCUGAUCUCAUAGUGCCCAUGGUUUAAGUGUGAAUCGUAGAGCUGAACAUGAGAGGUGACUUGAGAGUGACUGCCUUUGCCCUUUGACCAAAGAAGUCAGAGCAAACUGACGUAAAUGGGAAUCAGGGUCAGGGCAUCUCAGACAUGGCACAGAGGAAGAUGAUUUUAGUUACUGGAAGUCAAUCACCUCAGCCCAGAACAUCUCCGCAUGAGUCCCUUAUGGGAGUUCCCUGCUCCAGCCAUCUUCAGCUACUUCAUUAAUGACCUUUCGUCCAUCAUAAAGUCAGAAAUGGGGAAUGUGGGUAAUAACUGAUGCUUGCUCAAUGUUCAAUGGAGGUGUAACUGUAGGUUUAAGUGAAUGCCAGGCUUCGGUGAGGAGGGUGAGCAGCCGUGAGGGAAGGCAAUCAGAGGAGAGUAAACGACUGCAGCUGCUGAAGGCAUAAGGGUGAUGGAGAAGUAGAAAGAAGUUUAACGGUGAAGUCACAGGCAGCAGGGCCAUUCACUGAACUCAGUUUUGUGGUGCCUAAAGGAGAGAAGGAGAAGGUGGAGGCACGUCCAGUAGCAACCACAACAGGGCCGUCAGACUCUGGGAGAGAAACCAGCCCCUGAAAAGCUUGACUGGAUCUAUCCAUGUGCGUACAAUGCUGCAAAUGUUCAGCAGGUGAAAUGACUGAAUGACUUGUUUGGCCCUUUAAAUGUCAACUACAUUGCUGUGGAUCUGAAGUCACAUGUAGGUCAGACCAGAAACACAACUGAAGCGGCCCUGAAGAUUUGCCACAUAUUUCACCAUGUGGGCUUCACUGAGGAGGUGAAAUGACUGGGUGUGCAGAUCAUAUCCUCAUCGGGCUGGGAAUUGAUGAGGAAAGUCAUGUAUGAUCAGGCCUGAUGCCCUCUUGAUUCUAAGAAACAAUCUCAUGUUUUGAAUGGGCCAUAUUUAACAAGCACACCCAAUAAUGAUGUAUUGAUAACUGAUCAGUACAGACUUGCAAUGAACUACGAAUAUGGAAAUUUGAAACAUGAACUAAUUAGAAAUUGAAUUGUCAGAGUGGAUGUUGAAUGAAGUUUUGCCUAGUGUAAUUGAGAGAUAACCAAAUUUUAUGAAGAUGUAAUCCAACUGAGCACACAAGCUGAGAUCAGGAAACAUAAGUAACAAUGGUUCAAGAUGAUAGGGGUACCAUGUCACAAACGCAGCUGGCCCUGCAGCAUAUGUUAAAUUUACAAUCAGGGAAUUAAAGCAGAAUAGAAAGGAAUAACACCCAUCAACAGUCCCAGCUAAUCGUACUUAAUGUGGCAGGGGAAGAAACAGGGGUAUAUGUACUUAAUGUGGUCGGGGUAUAAAACUAACUUUGUCACAGAAACUGAACUCCUUUCGGCAGGAAGAAGGACCACUUUCAGGCGAUGUGCCAUAACAAGAACAUGCACAAAGCAAAGCCUUCAAAUAGUGGCAAGAUUCACAAGGUAAUUAAUUGAAGGAGAUUGAGAUGACUUUCUUUGGGAAGAUACAGGAAGCAAGCAGAAGCUUACUAGUGUGCUGGUGCUCAGGAGAAGCAGCUUUGCCCGUGUCUGAUGCUGAACUGUAGCUGAAGCAAUGUCUCUGCCAUUGGAUGUAGGUUUGCUCGCUGAGCUGGAAGGUUCAUUUUCAAACGUUUCGUCAACAUACUA